rnacentral:rRNA from 1 species
GACGAACCGUGCGAACGUUGUUCGGAUUCACUGGGCUUAAAGGGCGCGUAGGCGGGUCGGUCCGUCUGGGGUGAAAUCCUCUCGCUUAACGAGAGAACGGCCCUGGAUACCACCGAUCUCGAGGGAGGUAGGGGCAUGUGGAAGCUUCCGGUGGAGCGGUGAAAUGCGUAGAUAUCGGAAGGAACGCCGGUGGCGAAAGCGACGUGCUGGACCUUUUCUGACGCUGAGGCGCGAAAGCCAGGGGAGCAAACGGG